UUUUAAUUACGAUAACGUGACUUUUUGAUAGUAUUAAUCCAAGACCGUUGUAUUAAUAUUUGAUGUUUGAUGAAUUGGUGUUUGUCAAAUUGUGAAACAUGGAUAUUAGAAAAUUUUUUGUUAACAAAGCUGUUCCAAAUCCAGAUGAUCUACCAGUUCCAUUACAUGAGGACAAUAUAUCAAAACAUUCAGAAUACCCAAUGCCUGAGGGAAUUUCAUCACUAAUGAAAAAUUCCAAUGAUUCAUUAGGUAUUUGUUUUAUAUUUUAAAAUUGUGUGGUUAUUUAAAUAAAUGCGUUGUGUUAACUGAUUGGGUUUAAUUUUUUAUGUUAUUUAUUUUAUUACAUUAUAAGCAAUGUGUCUUACUAAUAUAUAAUAUAGAAAUGUUCACUAUAUACUUUUUGAUCAAACAUUCCUAAAAACUUAGGUAAGUAUAGAAUUUUAUAAAUGUUUCAAAUAUGUAAGUAAAGUUAAUGGACAAUGGUGCUUGUAAUAAGCUAGCAUUUUUUUUUUGUUAUGUAGUUAAUAGUUAUAUGUUUUUUUUUUGUUUAGUUGCUUAAUAGAUAUUUUUUGUUAGCUUUGUCGUGUUGUCAGAUAAUCAAUAUUAAAUGUUUAGUUUUGUAAA